GGAAACAGCCGGCAAGCUUGUUGCACUACAUACAUCUUAUUUGAUUAACUUAUUAGUAUUAACUGCACCUAGUAAGAAAAAUUCCGUUAGUUACAAAUUAGUCGCAUGAAUACACACCGGCAACUGCCAUGAUCCGCCGGUCGCGGAUCACAUAUGCUGAAUUCCCGGCAUGCGUAUCAUUUAAAUGGACCCGAAUGGUUUCAACUGUCUAAUACGACUGUGUAUGGAAUAAAAUUGCCUGCCAAAUUCGAUUGUGCCAUCCGGGAAUUAAUGCCCUAGACAGGGUUUACUUGUACGCCGGCCGAUCAAUAAUUCAAGGCUAUCGUUAGCCCUGCUGGCCGCCGUUAUCUGCAAGUACCACUCUCCCUGCUCUUUCUAUGCAAUGCAAACUCCCUAUCAGCCUCUUCCGGGAAAACCCGGCUGGAUGCGAAGGAACGGCCAGACUACAGCUGAUAAUUUAGCAGUUCGUCUGUUCACGUUCCUGGGAAGUCGUGGAUGCGAAUUGUGGGCAUUUAAGCCAGUCCACGCGUGAGCACGGUCACGGCGAUAAACUGGGACGCUACGAGUAGCAUUUAUUACUGCCGGUUAUGGUAAUUCGCAAUAAAUACGCCUACGAGUGACAGUUUUUUUUUGCAAACCGAUUCCCUUUUGGAAAACGUCGUAAUUGAUCAAGCUGCUAGCCGCAGUUUUUUUAUGCACUCUCCCUUUUGGACCCACGAGCCUUCCCCAAAAGAAACAAUAUGUAUAAUUGCAUCUACCCAAUGUAAUCUAUUGACUCUGUGAAAUUCGUACAUGAUACUUGCAGCAGCAAACAACACUGCGCGAUCAAUCUCCUUUCCCGUCAGUGAAUAUGCAGCUCGAUUGCUUAUCCUGCGUCGCUACAACCAAUGAAAUAUGUGUGACGGCUUUGAUCGAAUAAUGGAAUCUUGGUGAUCAUCUUGGGAGAGAAUUAUAAUUUAUAUGGUAUGUACAUAAUAUAUUACAUAUUCAAAUCAUUGUGCGAAAGCGGUCCAUGCCAAGUUCGGGUCCAAGUUGGGACACUGUACUGUAUAUAUAAUCUAUAUGUGUACCAGUAUGCUGUUUAUUUUACAGUACAUGUUGUUUCACUGUUGUUUCGGUAAUUGUUUCACUGUUGUUUCGGUAAUUGUCACACUGUUGUUUCGGUAAUUGCAUCCAAUUCCUUGGAAAAAUCCUGUUUAUCAGAUACAGCUAUUAUAGGCAUUGUUAACAAUACUGUAGAGGCUGGGAAAGAGGCCGGUAUAUCAAAAGGUAAAAUUAGGAAGUUAGUGAGUGCGAAAGUCCGGUCAGAAAUGACAACGAGGCGCGAUAACAGGUUACGUACACUAGUUCAGCAGGGCGCGUGGAAGGCGGUAGCUGAAGCGCAGGCAGUGGAUACUUUCUGGAAGUCAGUUCUAUAUAACUUACCAGAGAAGACCGUCUCUUUUAUGGUCAAGGCAGCUCUCGACAUUGCUCCUUCUUUCACUAAUCUUUGCAAGUGGGGCAUGUCUAUUUCAGCUAAGUGUGAUCUCUGUGGUGGGGAAAGCGGUACUCUCUGUCAUAUUCUUAAUUGUUGCCCUAUCGCUCUCUCUGGUGCACGCUAUACCUGGCGACACAACAGCAUUCUUAAAGCUAUUUUCAACUGUUUUACCAGUGCGGCUGUGAAUGGUAAGUGGGAGGUUCGUUGCGAUUUGGACAACGAAAGUUACGAACGUCAUUCUACGACCAUCCCAGCCGACAUUCUCCCUACCACCCUUUACCCUGAUUUAACGUGUAUUAACCGUACCGAGAAGCGUAUCAUUUUAGCAGAGGUUACAGUCCCCUUCGAGUCUGAACAGGGAUUCAGCAACGCCGACAAGCGAAAGAAGGAGCGCUACUCCCGCCUGUGCAGAGACCUGGACGUAGCAGGGUGGACAGUUGAAUACCAUCACCUCGCCAUCGGAAGUAGAGGGAUGAUUCCCUCUAAAGCCGUGAAUGCCAUGCACCGCAUCGCCAACACGGUAGCCGUUGGAGGAAAAUACGCGAAAGCCAAACAGCUGCCAGAAUCGCUUGCCUCUAUCGCCCUUAGUUGUAGUUACGUAAUUUUCCUGAAUAAAUCAAAUGUUAACUGGGCAGUACCGGGCCCAAGCGAACUGUUUACGUAUUGAUAUGCUUUCCUUCAUGUCCAGUCGACCUCAGCACGGUCGAAAACGAUGCUGUCCUGUUUACAUUGUACCACUGCACUUCUGAUGUCGAUAAUUGGCUGGUGCGAUGUUCUCCCACCUUACCUUUAUUGCGCACUGUUUUAAUUAUAUAACUAUAAUAGCAUUAAUAUAGAAUUACGGUUGCGAAUUAUAGGAGUACAAUGACAGGCGAUUACGUGCGUAAGUGUCUAUGCUUUCCCUUUUUCCCACAGGAAAACUUUUCAAUUCCUUAUUAAAUUUUUUCUUUCCUUAAUAUUAACUUUAGUAAUAAAGUUUUCAAGAGUUAGUUAUUUUUACGUGGGUUUUGGGUUUUAUGCAUAGACCCCAGCGCGAUCGUCUACCCGACACACUUAUUUUGUUACAUCUUCGCAACCGUAAAUGAUUUAAAUAGCGCCACGGGCCUGCGUGCCUGCGAAUCUUAACUUUAUAAUUAUGUAAUAGGGAAAGGAAGUCGCA